rnacentral:sRNA from 1 species
AAGAAAAAGCCGAAACCAGUGUGGUUUCGGCUUUUUUGUAAGAUCCGCUAAAAAAGAAAUGAUAAAGUAAAUAAAAAACCAUCAUUAAAAAAGCGAGCAGAUGCAUCUGCUCGCUUUUGUUCGUGUUU